GGAAAUUGCCGGGUCGAUGUUGCCGGAAAAUUUCCAAGGGUUUGGACGACUCCAGGAGCCAAUCCAAACGAUGUCAAGGAAUGGUAUGAGUUUGGGGCUUUGGCCUCAGUUUAUACCACUGCCCCAGCCUUCACCGAAAUCAAGGGUCUACCAAAAUGGAUCCAGAAAACGGUGUUCGACACAUGGGAGAACAACGAGUCCCUCAAAAGGGGAGAUGUUCUGGAAUUGUACUGUUUCAGUGCAGCACCAG
rnacentral:lncRNA from 1 species